CUCCGGUUGAUCCCGCCGGACCCGACUGCUAUCAGAGUGGGACUAAGCCAUGCGAGUCAACAUAGUAAUAUGUGGCAUACGGCUCAGUAACACGUAGUCAACAUGCCCAGGGGACGUGGAUAACCUCGGGAAACUGAGGAUAAACCGCGAUAGGUCAUCACUUCUGGAAUGGGUAAUGACUUAAAUCUAUAUGGCCCCUGGAUUGGACUGCGGCCGAUCAGGCUGUUGGUGAGGUAAUGGCCCACCAAACCUGUAACCGGUACGGGCUCUGAGAGGAGGAGCCCGGAGAUGGGCACUGAGACAAGGGCCCAGGCCCUAUGGGGCGCAGCAGGCGCGAAACCUCUGCAAUAGGCGAAAGCUUGACAGGGUUACUCUGAGUGAUGUCCGUUAAGGGCAUCUUUUGGCACUUCUAAAAAUAGUGUAGAAUAAGGGGUGGGCAAGUCUGGUGUCAGCCGCCGCGGUAAUACCAGCACCCCGAGUGGUCGGGACGAUUAUUGGGCCUAAAGCAUCCGUAGCCGGUCUUGCAAGUCUUCCGUUAAAUCCAGCUGCUCAACAGAUGGGCUGCGGGAGAUACUACAGGGCUAGGAGGCGGGAGAGGCAAGCGGUACUUUAUGGGUAGGGGUAAAAUCCGCUGAUCCAUAGAAGACCACCAGUGGCGAAGGCGGCUUGCCAGAACGCGCUCGACGGUGAGGGAUGAAAGCUGGGGGAGCAAACCGGAUUAGAUACCCGGGUAGUCCCAGCUGUAAACGAUGCAGACUCGGUGAUGGGUUGGCCUCGCGCCUGCCCAGUGCCGCAGGGAAGCCGUUAAGUCUGCCGCCUGGGGAGUACGGUCGCAAGACUGAAACUUAAAGGAAUUGGCGGGGGAGCA
rnacentral:rRNA from 1 species